rnacentral:rRNA from 1 species
UAACACAUGCAAGUCGAACGAUGAUAGAGAGCUUGCCUUCUUGAUUAGUGGCGCACGGGUGAGUAAUGCAUAGAUAAUGUGCCCUUAGUUCGGGAUAGCCACUGGAAACGGUGAUUAAUACCGGAUACUCCUUCUUGUUAUAAGACAAGUCGGGAAAGUCUUUCGCUAAGGGAUCAGUCUAUGUUCCAUCAGCUUGUUGGUGAGGUAAUGGCUCACCAAGGCUAUGACGGAUAUCUGGUUUGAGAGGAUGAUCAGACACACUGGAACUGAGACACGGUCCAGACUCCUACGGGAGGCAGCAGUGAGGAAUAUUGCACAAUGGAGGAAACUCUGAUGCAGCAACGCCGCGUGGAGGAUGACGCAUUUCGGUGUGUAAACUCCUUUUAUUAGGGAAGAUAAUGACGGUACCUAAUGAAUAAGCACCGGCUAACUCCGUGCCAGCAGCCGCGGUAAUACGGAGGGUGCAAGCGCUACUCGGAAUCACUGGGCGUAAAGGGUGCGUAGGCUGGCUUUUAAGUCAGAUGUGAAAUCCAAUGGCUCAACCAUUGAACUGCAUUUGAAACUGAAAGCCUAGAGUUCAGAAGGGGCAGAUGGAAUUAGUGGUGUAGGGGUAAAAUCCGUAGAUAUCACUAGGAAUAUCAAAAGCGAAGGCGAUCUGCUGGGAUGAUACUGACGCUGA